UGUCCCGGUUCCGACGGACCGGGCGGGAGUCAUAAAACGGCUUGCCAGGGGAACAGGCUUGAAGGCCUGGCCGCAGAGGGUGCCAGCCCCGUACCUGGAAGCUUGCCGUCUUCCGAUCAUGUGUCCCAAGUAGCGCGGGCCUCGUGGAAUCCCGUGUGAAUCGGCCCCGACCGUGGGGUAAGUCUAAGCAUACCUGUCUGACCGAUAGCGUACCAGUACCGUGAGGGAAAGGUGAAAAGCACCCCGGGAGGGGAGUGAAAGAGUUCCUGAAACCGUGCGCCUACAAUCCGUCGGAGCCUCCUCAAGUGGGGUGACGGCGUGCCUAUCGAAAAAUGAGUCUGCGAGUCAGUGGUGCGUGGCGAGGCUAACCCGUCGUGGGGGAGCCGUAGCGAAGGCGAGUCUCAAAAGGCGUUUUGAGUCGCGUGCCCUGGACCCGAAGCGGGAUGAUCUAGCCCUGGGCAGGUUGAAGCGCGGGUAAGACCGCGUGGAGGACCGAACCCACCUGGGUUGAAAACCGGGGGGAUGACCUGGGGCUAGGGGUGAAAGGCCAAUCAAAUUCCGUGAUAGCUGGUUCUCUCCGAAAUGCAUUUAGGUGCAGCGUCGGUUGAUUGCAUCGCGGGGGUAGAGCUACUGGAUGCUUGCGGGCCCGUGUGGGGUACCAACAGCAGCCAAACUCCGAAUACCGUUGAUGUGUAUUCCGGCAGUGAGUCGGCGGGGGAUAAGCUCCGUCGUCGAGAGGGAGACAGCCCAGAUCGUCGUCUAAGGUCCCGAAGCGUGUGCUAAGUGGGAAAGGAUGUGGAGUCGCAUAGACAGCCAGGAGGUUGGCUCAGAAGCAGCCAUCCUUGAAAGAGUGCGUAACAGCUCACUGGUCUAGUGGUUCCGCGCCGACAAUGUAGCGGGGCUCAAGCACACCACCGAAGACGCGGCAGCGGCCUUUAUGGCCGUUGGGUAGGAGAGCGUCCCCCGAGGGGCGAAGCGGCCGCGCAAGCGCGCCGUGGACUUCGGGGGAGUGAGAAUGCAGACAUGAGUAGCGAGAGACGGGUGAGGAUCCCGUCCGCUGGAUGACCAAGGGUUCCGGGGCCACGUUCGUCGUCCCCGGGUGAGUCGGGUCCUAAGGCGAGGCCGACAGGCGUAGUCGAAUGGAUGAACGGGUGGAUAUUCCCGUACCGGCAGCGAACCGUCCGAACCGAACGGAUGAGUACUAACCUCCGGUCGCGUGCGUCGUUCCCUUCGGGGUUCGGGGCGCGCGAUCGUUGGGAAUGUAGUCCUGGUAGGUUAGCGCACAGGGGUGACACGGAAUGGGAGCCGGCCGCGGAGGUGGUUUUCCGUGGUCAAGCACGCAGCCCGUCCCAUAGGCAAAUCCGUGGGACGUUGAGGGUGAGGUGCGAUGAUGGGCGUCUUUCAGGCGCGAUAUCCGGUGGUCCAGGCCGUCGAGAAAAGCCUCGGCGCGAGGGGCGUUGCCGCCCGUACCCCAAACCGACACUGGUGGUCAGGUAGAGAAUACCAAGGCGAUCGAGCGAAUCCUGGUCAAGGAACUCGGCAAAUCACUCCCGUGCCUUCGGUAUAAGGGAGACCCCUGAUGGUGAUGGAACUUGCUUCCGGAGCUUUCGGGGGUGGCACAGACCAGGGGGUAGCGACUGUUUACCAAAAACACAGGUGCAUGCGAAGGCGCAAGCCGCUGUAUAUGCACUGACGCCUGCCCGGUGCCGGAAGGUUAAGAGGAUCCGUCAGCCCCUUUUGGGGUGAAGCGGUGAAUUCAAGCCCCGGUAAACGGCGGUGGUAACUAUAACCAUCCUAAGGUAGCGAAAUUCCUUGUCGGGUAAGUUCCGACCUGCACGAAUGGCGUAACGACUUCCCCACUGUCUCGACCAGGAGCUCGGCGAAAUUGCAGUACGAGUAAAGAUGCUC
rnacentral:rRNA from 1 species